rnacentral:rRNA from 1 species
GGACCAGACUCCUACGGGAGGCAGUGAGGAAUAUUGGUCAAUGGACGAGAGUCUGAACCAGCCAAGUAGCGUGAAGGAUGACUGCCCUAUGGGUUGUAAACUUCUUUUAUAUGGGAAUAAAACAGGGUAUGCAUACCCUCUUGUAUGUACCAUAUGAAUAAGGAUCGGCUAACUCCGUGCCAGCAGCCGCGGUAAUACGGAGGAUCCGAGCGUUAUCCGGAUUUAUUGGGUUUAAAGGGUGCGUAGGCGGCAUUAUAAGUUAGUGGUAAAAUAUUGGGGCUUCACCUCACUACGCCAUUAAUACUGUAGAGCUAGAGAACAGACGAGGUAGGCGGAAUAAGUUAAGUAGCGGUGAAAUGCAUAGAUAUAACUUAGAACACCGAUAGCGAAGGCAGCUUACCAGACUGAGUCUGACGCUGAUGCACGAGAGCAUGGGUAGCGAACAGGAUUAGAUACCCGCGUAUA